AUAAAUGUUUUAAUGGCCGUUGUAUUUCCAGGUUUGAAAACGCGCCCCAAUCAUCCUCUACUCGGGCGCUGUUGAGAUUCUCACCUUGUCCAGUAAAAUGUCAAACCGGGGACGCUUGAGACGAGCCGGUAGCAGCUAAUUUACCAACGAGGAGGAACGGAACGCACCGGCUGUCGGGACUAACGAUUGGCGGGGUCGUUAGGAACACUCCCUGCCCAGCUUUCAGUGAGAGCUCGGUGAUGGAGAGGAGACCAAUGGACUGUCAGCUUUCAGUGAGAGCUCGGUGAUGGAGAGGAGACCAAUGGACUGUCAGCUUUCAGUGAGAGCUCGGUGAUGGAGAGGAGACCAAUGGACUGUCAGCUUUCAGUGAGAGCUCGGUGAUGGAGAGGAGACCAAUGGACUGUCAGCUUUCAGUGAGAGCUCGGUGAUGGAGAGGAGACCAAUGGACUGUCAGCUUUCAGUGAGAGCUCGGUGAUGGAGAGGAGACCAAUGGACUGUCAGCUUUCAGUGAGAGCUCGGUGAUGGAGAGGAGACCAAUGGACUGUCAGCUUUCAGUGAGAGCUCGGUGAUGGAGAGGAGACCAAUGGACUGUCAGCUUUCAGUGAGAGCUCGGUGAUGGAGAGGAGACCAAUGGACUGUCAGCUUUCAGUGAGAGCUCGGUGAUGGAGAGGAGACCAAUGGACUGUCAGCUUUCAGUGAGAGCUCGGUGAUGGAGAGGAGACCAAUGGACUGUCAGCUUUCAGUGAGAGCUCGGUGAUGGAGAGGAGACCAAUGGACUGUCAGCUUUCAGUGAGAGCUCGGUGAUGGAGAGGAGACCAAUGGACUGUCAGCUUUCAGUGAGAGCUCGGUGAUGGAGAGGAGACCAAUGGACUGUCAGCUUUCAGUGAGAGCUCGGUGAUGGAGAGGAGACCAAUGGACUGUCAGCUUUCAGUGAGAGCUCGGUGAUGGAGAGGAGACCAAUGGACUGUCAGCUUUCAGUGAGAGCUCGGUGAUGGAGAGGAGACCAAUGGACUGUCAGCUUUCAGUGAGAGCUCGGUGAUGGAGAGGGGACCAAUGGACUAGGCUUUCAGUGAGAGCUCGGUGAUGGAGAGGAGACCAAUGGACUAAGCUUUCAGUGAGAGCUCGGUGAUGGAGAGGAGACCAAUGGACUAAGCUUUCAGUGAGAGCUCGGUGAUGGUGAGGGGACCAAUGGACUGUCAGCUUUCAGUGAGAGCUCGGUGAUGGUGAGGGGACCAAUGGACUGUCAGCUUUCAGUGAGAGCUCGGUGAUGGUGAGG
rnacentral:lncRNA from 1 species